CUGGCGGCGUGCUUAACACAUGCAAGUCGAACGAGACGAUUGAAAGCUUGCUUUUGGAAGUCGAGUGGCAAACGGGUGAGUAACGCGUAGACAACCUGCCGUAAAGAUGGGGACAACAGUUCGAAAGGACUGCUAAUACCGAAUGUUGUAUCUCCUCCGCAUGGAAGAGAUAUUAAAGAUGGCCUCUACUUGUAAGCUAUCGCUUUGCGAUGGGUCUGCGUCUGAUUAGCUAGUUGGUGGGGCAACGGCCUACCAAGGCGACGAUCAGUAGCCGGUCUGAGAGGAUGAACGGCCACAUUGGAACUGAGACACGGUCCAGACUCCUACGGGAGGCAGCAGUGGGGAAUCUUCCGCAAUGGGCGAAAGCCUGACGGAGCAACGCCGCGUGAGUGAAGAAGGUCUUCGGAUCGUAAAGCUCUGUUGUCGGGGACGAAUGUUGAGGCCUAGAACAUAGGUUUCAAAUGACGGUACCUGACGAGGAAGCCACGGCUAACUACGUG
rnacentral:rRNA from 1 species